AGCGAACGCUGGCGGCAGGCCUAACACAUGCAAGUCGAACGAACCCUUCGGGGUUAGUGGCGGACGGGUGAGUAACACGUGGGAACGUGCCUUUAGGUUCGGAAUAACUCAGGGAAACUUGUGCUAAUACCGAAUGUGCCCUUCGGGGGAAAGAUUUAUCGCCUUUAGAGCGGCCCGCGUCUGAUUAGCUAGUUGGUGAGGUAAUGGCUCACCAAGGCUACGAUCAGUAGCUGGUCUGAGAGGAUGACCAGCCACAUUGGGACUGAGACACGGCCCAAACUCCUACGGGAGGCAGCAGUGGGGAAUCUUGCGCAAUGGGCGAAAGCCUGACGCAGCCAUGCCGCGUGGAUGAUGAAGGUCUUAGGAUUGUAAGAUCCUUUCACCGGUGAAGAUAAUGACUGCAGCCGGAGAAGAAGCCCCGGCUAACUUCGUGCCAGCAGCCGCGGUAAAAC
rnacentral:rRNA from 1 species